rnacentral:miRNA from 1 species
CAUCCAGGAUGAUCAAGACG